CUAAGUGGGGUGUUAGAUAUUGGGGUGGGUGCUGCCUUCUUAGCAUGAGAGACUAGAGGAGAACUGUCUCCUCUUGGGCUGAGCAUUCUAGGUUUUCGGGUGAGAGGAAAAAUAAGAGAGAAAGGACUCUCCCUUGCCUUCUUCCACCAAUCCUAUGUCCUCCUAUAGUCCUCCUCCUAAAAGGGUCUGAGAGGUCUCAAAAAAGGAAUCAGAUCAGCUGUCAAGA
rnacentral:lncRNA from 1 species